CCUACAGUCCGAAGUGCGAUAAGGGAACCCAAGUGCGUAAGGCAUUAGAAGCCUACGCUUUUGUCCACCGUAGGGAGGUGGACGAAUAAGGGCUGGGCAAGACCGGUGCCAGCCGCCGCGGUAAUACCGGCAGCCCGAGUGAUGGCCGAUCUUAUUGGGCCUAAAGCGUCCGUAGCUGGCCGCGCAAGUCUAUCGGAAAAUCCACCCGCUCAACGGGUGGGCGUCCGGUAGAAACUGCGUGGCUUGGGACCGGAAGGCGCGACGGGUACGUCCGGGGUAGGAGUGAAAUCCCGUAAUCCUGGACGGACCGCCGAUGGCGAAAGCACGUCGCGAGGACGGAUCCGACAGUGAGGGACGAAAGCUAGGGUCUCGAACCGGAUUAGAUACCCGGGUAGUCCUAGCCGUAAACAAUGUCUGUUAGGUGUGGCUCCCACUACGAGUGGGUGCUGUGCCGUAGGGAAGCCGCUAAACAGACCGCCUGGGAAGUACGUCCGCAAGGAUGAAACUUAAAGGAAUUGGGGGGGGGGAGCAACAA
rnacentral:rRNA from 1 species